UCCCCAGUGAUCCAGUGGUUAAGACUCUGCACUUCCACUGCAGGGGACGCAGGUUCGAUCCCUGGCUGGGGAG